CUCAAAGCCACCACCAUCAUCCCGGUUCCUAAGAAGCCGUCUCCAUCCCACUACAAUGACUAUCGCCCGGUCGCACUCACCCCCAUCCUUAUGAAGUGCUUUGAGCGGCUAGUCAUGCAGCACAUCAAGUCUGCCCUCCCAUCCACUCUGGAUCCCUACCAGUUUGCUUAUCGGUCCAACCGCUCGACCGAUGACGCCAUCGCCACUGCUCUCCACUCAGCCCUGACCCACCUGGAGACCGAGAACUCAUACGUCAGAAUGCUGUUCAUCGACUUCAGCUCAGCAUUCAACACAAUCCUCCCCCAGCAGCUCAUCUACAAACUGGACCGGCUGGGACUCAACACCACCUUGUGCAACUGGCUGCUGGACUUUCUGACAGGGAGACCACAGGCAGUUCGGGUUGGCAGCAACACCUCCGGCACCAUCAUUUUGAACACGGGGGCCCCCCAGGGAUGUGUGCUGAGCCCCCUCCUCUUCACUCUGCUGACCCAUGACUGCACACCCUCAUCCAGCUCAAACCUCUUCAUCAAGUUUGCUGAUGACACGACCGUGGUGGGUCUCAUCAACAAUGACGAUGAGACAACCUACCGGAGUGAGGUGAGCCGCCUGGCCACGUGGUGUCAGGACAACAAUCUCCACCUGAACGUGGAGAAGACGAAGGAGAUUGUUGUGGACUUCAGGAGAGAGCAUUCCCAGCAUGCUCCACUGACCAUCAACGGUGCUGCUGUGGAGAGAGUGAGCAGCACCAAGUUUCUGGGUGUGCACAUCUCUGAGGAUCUUUCCUGGAACACCAACACCACAUCACUGGCUAAAACAGCUCAACGGCGGCUCUACUUCCUCCGUAGACUGAGAAGAGCGAGAGCCCCGACCCCCAUGAUGACCACCUUUUACAGAGGCACUGUAGAGAGCAUCCUGACCAGCUGCAUCACGGUGUGGUACGGCGCCUGCACCGUGUCCUGCUGCAAGACCCUGCAGCGCAUUGUGAGAGCAGCCGAGAAGAUCAUUGGUGUCUCUCUCCCCUCCCUCUCCUCUAUUUACAACACCCGCCUCACCCGCACAGCCACCAGGAUCGCAGGUGACCCCACUCACCCUGCCCACAGCCUCUUCAGCCUGCUGCCG
ensembl:lncRNA